rfam:Capsaspora owczarzaki ATCC 30864 unplaced genomic scaffold supercont2.28, whole genome shotgun sequence.
GUACAGUUAGUUUAAUGGAAGAACAUCAUCUUGUGGCGUUGGGGAUACAGGUUCGAUUCCUGUACUGUACA